AGCCUGAUCCAGCCAUGCCGCGUGCAGGAAGACUGCCCUAUGGGUUGUAAACUGCUUUUACAGAGGAAGAACCACCCCCACGUGUGGGGGUUUGACGGUACUCUGCGAAUAAGGAUCGGCUAACUCCGUGCCAGCAGCCGCGGUAAUACGGAGGAUCCAAGCGUUAUCCGGAAUCAUUGGGUUUAAAGGGUCCGUAGGCGGGCAGUUAAGUCAGUGGUGAAAGUCUUCCGCUCAACGGGAGAACUGCCAUUGAUACUGAUUGUCUUGAGUUAUUAUGAAGUGGUUAGAAUGAGUAGUGUAGCGGUGAAAUGCAUAGAUAUUACUCAGAAUACCGAUUGCGAAGGCAGAUCACUAAUAAUAUACUGACGCUGAUGGACGAAAGCGUAGGUAGCGAACAGGAUUAGAUACCCUGGUAGUCUACGCCGUAAACGAUGGUUACUAGCUGUUCGGCCCAAUUGAGGGCUGAGUGGUUAAGCGAAAGUGAUAAGUAACCCACCUGGGGAGUACGUUCGCAAGAAUGAAACUCAAAUG
rnacentral:rRNA from 1 species